CCGAACCGACUAAUGUUGAAAAAUUAGCGGAUGACCUGUGGCUGGGGGUGAAAGGCCAAUCAAACCGGGAGAUAGCUGGUUCUCCCCGAAAGCUAUUUAGGUAGCGCCUCGUGAAUUCAUCUCCGGGGGUAGAGCACUGUUUCGGCUAGGGGGCCAUCCCGGCUUACCAACCCGAUGCAAACUGCGAAUACCGGAGAAUGUUAUCACGGGAGACACACGGCGGGUGCUAACGUCCGUCGUGAAGAGGGAAACAACCCAGACCGCCAGCUAAGGUCCCAAAGUCAUGGUUAAGUGGGAAACGAUGUGGGAAGGCCCAGACAGCCAGGAUGUUGGCUUAGAAGCAGCCAUCAUUUAAAGAAAGCGUAAUAGCUCACUGGUCGAGUCGGCCUGCGCGGAAGAUGUAACGGGGCUAAACCAUGCACCGAAGCUGCGGCAGCGACACUGUGUGUUGUUGGGUAGGGGAGCGUUCUGUAAGCCUGUGAAGGUGUGUCGUGAGGCAUGCUGGAGGUAUCAGAAGUGCGAAUGCUGACAUAAGUAACGAUAAAGCGGGUGAAAAGCCCGCUCGCCGGAAGACCAAGGGUUCCUGUCCAACGUUAAUCGGGGCAGGGUGAGUCGACCCCUAAGGCGAGGCCGAAAGGCGUAGUCGAUGGGAAACGGGUUAAUAUUCCCGUACUUGGUGUUACUGCGAAGGGGGGACGGAGAAGGCUAUGUUGGCCGGGCGACGGUU
rnacentral:rRNA from 3 species